rfam:Ailuropoda melanoleuca scaffold2538_8, whole genome shotgun sequence.
GCCUGGGUGGCAUAGUGGUUAAGCGUCUGCCUUCAGCUCAGGGCAUGAUCCCAGCAUUGUGGGAUCAAGCCCCACAUCAGGCU